rnacentral:lncRNA from 1 species
AAGGCCUCCUCUUAAGAGAACGGCAUAGGCUGCAGAUACAUUAUAGAGACCAUCAGCUAAUAUUUUACUACCGUUAAAUCCAUUAGCCUUAUGAAGUUACCAGAGAGUCAUUCAUUGUAGACAAAGUUUACCCAAACACUGCACUCUGCAGCAUAUUGAAAUUAAUAAACACGGAAGAGAAAAGGAACUAUCAGAAGAGAGUGAGAAAGGACAGAAUGACGCCCCAAAAGGAGAAUCAAGUGUGUAUGGUAUCCUGGAAUCAAGCGGAAAACGCAUUUUCAGGAAGAAGAAUGCUGAAGAUGCAUCAAGCGUUGUUGGAAUUUGUGGCGAUGUACACGUGAAAGCACAGAAUACUACCUACCAGACACGGGCAUGUUUGAGUGCUGAAGCUGAACUGCAGUCGCCAUUGCUUUUUUUUCUCAUACCACCUAUGUUUGGAGAGAUUUUUCAAGCUCAUCAUUUUCUUCAUCAAAACCACAUUUGAAUUCCAAGCUAUUAUCUAAUCUUUUAAUCUUCAACAAUUUGAACAAACUAGAAAUGUGUUUCCUGGCAAGGAGAAUGACUUCUUCAAACCGAAAAAUGGGGUGCAUGACUGAACAUCUCCUCUCCUUUAAAAGACAUUCUAUUCUGGACUGCACCCUUUGUUUUGAUAAGGGAGUAGAGCUUAAGCAAGAUGAUUAUGCUUCUAUGGAAUAAAAUAUGACUGGAUUAACUGUGACAGGUGAAAUGAGAAUAAAACUUGUCGAGAUGGGACUUGAGUCAUUUCUAAAAGAAUUUUUAAUUCUCAAAGUUUAUUGUAAUUCUUCAUGCGUUAGACAUUAGUUUAAUCUUUGAAAAUUUGUGCUUUGGAGACUAUGAUUCUAUGUGGCAAUAUAUGAUGAC